GAUGAAGAACGCAGUGAAAUGCGAUAAGUAGUGUGAAUUGCAGAAUUCAGUGAAUCAUCGAAUCUUUGAACGCACAUUGCGCCCUUUGGUAUUCCAAAGGGCAUGCCUGUUCGAGCGUCAUUUGUACCCUCAAGCUUUGCUUGGUGUUGGGCGUCUUGUCUCUAGCUUUGCUGGAGACUCGCCUUAAAGUAAUUGGCAGCCGGCCUACUGGUUUCGGAGCGCAGCACAAGUCGCACUCUCUAUCAGCAAAGGUCUAGCAUCCAUUAAGCCCUUUUUUCAACUUUUGACCUCGGAUCAGGUAGGGAUACCCGCUGAACUUAAGCAUAUCAAUAAGCGGAGGA
rnacentral:misc_RNA from 1 species